GACGAACGCUGGCGGCAUGCUUAACACAUGCAAGUCGAACGGAAAGGCCCUGCUUUUGUGGGGUGCUCGAGUGGCGAACGGGUGAGUAACACGUGAGUAACCUGCCCUUGACUUUGGGAUAACUUCAGGAAACUGGGGCUAAUACCGGAUAGGAGCUCCUGCUGCAUGGUGGGGGUUGGAAAGUUUCGGCGGUUGGGGAUGGACUCGCGGCUUAUCAGCUUGUUGGUGGGGUAGUGGCUUACCAAGGCUUUGACGGGUAGCCGGCCUGAGAGGGUGACCGGCCACAUUGGGACUGAGAUACGGCCCAGACUCCUACGGGAGACAGCAGUGGGGAAUAUUGCACAAUGGGCGGAAGCCUGAUGCAGCAACGCCGCGUGCGGGAUGACGGCCUUCGGGUUGUAAACCGCUUUCGCCUGUGACGAAGCGUGAGUGACGGUAAUGGGUAAAGAAGCACCGGCUAACUACGUG
rnacentral:rRNA from 1 species